UUUGAGUGUUUCCGAACGACUCGUGACCAACACUGAUCUCGUGGUCCAGUUUUCGGUGGUCGUAGUCUCCAUUAGGUGCAGCACGUACUCCUCUGCCUUUCUGCUACUUCUACAUAACAGUACAAUGUCUUUAGGAAGUGAACUACGUCACUGCAUAAAGACUUUCUUGGUUAUCGGCUUCUUUGGCGUUGCUGUUUUUUCAGGAGUUCAAGAAACUGAACAGGUAAAGUGUAACUUCUCUGAUAGACUCUACAGCAUUGGGGAUAGCUGGUAUCAUUUUGUGGAUAACUCCAAAACACCUCUCUGUCUCACCUGCCACUGC